rnacentral:lncRNA from 1 species
AUGAUACUCUCUAGAAAGCUGCUACAUGCCUACAUACUGUGUUUUAUUUCGUGCUUUUAUUUCUUUGUGUAGGACAUUUUUAACCAUGUUAUAAAUGAUUUGGAGAUCUUCCUGGACAAAGUGUCCGCCGCAGUAAAUGCACCUUUACCGCAAGAGGACAAGAGAAAGAAGAAAAAAGCGUUUCAGAAGAAUAAACCAAAGAUUAAUGGACCAGCUGACAGUAUGCCGCCCUGGGAGGAAUAUAUCUCCUGUCUUCAGAAAAUCAAAUAUGGAUUAAAUCUCUUGAGUCAGCUGGAUGGGACACUGACCAACCCCACUGCUCCUGACUAUGUCCACAUCUUCUUCUCUAGUUUAGGCAUGGUGAGUGCUUUUAUCUUCAUGUUUACAGCAAGCUGGCUGAAGCCAGGACUGUGAUGUUUGUGUCACAUGUGUUUUUAUUUAUAAUGGCAUAUGGUAUACCUCUUCCAUUUCUCCACAGAUAGUCCCUCAGUAUCCUGCGCACCUGCCUCCCACCGUGCUCUCGCCCAUGCUGACAGAGUCGGCCCUGCAACUGCUCAGUCAGGUUGUUGGCCCAGAGGAGGAGCUCCUCUGGAGAUCUCUGGGAGAUAGUUGGAACAUUCCCAGGUGUAUAAUCGUCACACUUACACAAGUCUUUUAUACAGGUGUUUACAUUCCUAUAUACA